UAGUNCACGCCGUAAACGAUGAGUGCUAGGUGUUGGGUCCUUUCCGGGACUCAGUNCCGCAGCUAACGCAUUAAGCACUCCGCCAGGGGAGUACGACCGCAAGGUUGAAACUCAAAGGAAUUGACGGGGGCCUGCACAAGCGGUGGAGCAUGUGGUUCAAUUNGAAGCAACGCGAAGAACCUUACCAGGUCUUGACAUCCCUCUGACCGCUCUAGAGAUAGAGUUUUCCUUCGGGACAGAGGUGACGGGUGGUGCAUGGUUGUCGUCAGCUCGUGUCGUGAGAUGUUGGGUUAAGUCCCGCAACGAGCGCAACCCCUAUUGUUAGUUGCCAUCAUUCAGUUGGGCACUCUAGCGAGACUGCCGGUAAUAAACCGGAGGAAGGUGGGGAUGACGUCAAAUCAUCAUGCCCCUUAUGACCUGGGCUACACACGUGCUACAAUGGCUGGUACAACGAGUCGCGAGUCGGUGACGGCAAGCUAAUCUCUUAAAGCCAGUCUCAGUUCGGAUUGUAGGCUGCAACUCGCCUACAUGAAGUCGGAAUCGCUAGUAAUCGCGGAUCAGCACGCCGCGGUGAAUACGUUCCCGGGCCUUGUACACACCGCCC
rnacentral:rRNA from 1 species